rnacentral:rRNA from 1 species
CACGUAGGGGCCAAGCGUUGUCCGGAUUUAUUGGGCGUAAAGAGCUCGUAGGCGGUUCAGCAAGUCGGGUGUGAAAACUCUGGGCUCAACCCAGAGACGCCACCCGAUACUGCUGUGACUAGAGUCCGGUAGGGGGAGUGGGGGAAUUCCUGGUGUAGCGGUGAAAUGCACAGAUAUCAGGAGGAACACCGGUGGCGAAGGCGC